rnacentral:misc_RNA from 1 species
AUUCAACAAAACGCACGAUAACAAAGUUUGGACUGCACUUUUUCUGAUGAUUAUUUCAGCAGUUACUGGAGGAAUUACAGAUCUUUCUUUUCAUGCCAUUGGUUAUACAUGGCAGAUUAUUAAUUGUUUCUUGACAGCAUCAUAUUCUUUGACUCUUCGCAGGGUCAUGGACACGGCCAAGCAAGUGACUAAAUCGGGGAACCUUGAUGAAUUCUCCAUGGUCCUGUUAAAUAACACCCUUUCACUGCCUUUGGGCAUUUUGCUUAUAUUA